rnacentral:rRNA from 1 species
CACAAGCGGUGGAGCAUGUGGUUUUAAUUCGAAGCAACGCGAAGAACCUUACCAGGCCUUGACAUGCAGAGAACUUUCCAGAGAUGGAUUUGGUGCCUUCGGGAACUCUGACACAGGUGCUGCAUGGCUGUCGCCAGCUCGUGUCGUGAGAUGUUGGGUUAAGUCCCGUAACGAGCGCAACCCUUGUCCUUAGUUACCAGCACGUUAUGGUGGGCACUCUAAGGAGACUGCCGGUGACAAACCGGAGGAAGGUGGGGAUGACGUCAAGUCAUCAUGGCCCUUACGGCCUGGGCUACACACGUGCUACAAUGGUCGGUACAAAGGGUUGCCAAGCCGCGAGGUGGAGCUAAUCCCAUAAAACCGAUCGUAGUCCGGAUCGCAGUCUGCAACUCGACUGCGUGAAGUCGGAAUCGCUAGUAAUCGUGAAUCAGAAUGUCACGGUGAAUACGUUCCCGGGCCUU